UCAGACGAUGCGUCAUGCAUAUCAAUAAGCGGAGGAAAAGAAACUAACAAGGAUUCCCUAGUAACGGCGAGUGAAGCGGGAAGAGCUCAAAUUUGAAAUCUUAAAGGGUUUCCCUUUACGAAUUGUAGUUUAAAGAAGUGUUUUACUGUUGAGGUUUUGGUAAAAGUUCUUUGGAAUAGGACAUCAUAGAGGGUGAGAAUCCCGUAUUUGACCUUUACUUUCAACUUUGUGAUACACUUUCAAAGAGUCGGAUUGUUUGGGAAUGCAGUCCAAAAUGGGUGGUAAAUUUCAUCUAAAGCUAAAUAUUGGCGAGAGACCGAUAGCGAACAAGUACCGUGAGGGAAAGAUGAAAAGAACUUUGAAAAGAGAGUUAAACAGUACGUGAAAUUGUCAAAAGGGAAGCGUUUGACACCAGUGUUGUUUUUCUGAAAAUCAAUUAAAGAACUGUUUAUGCUAAGUUGUUUAGACUUUAUCAGCUAUCUGUUUAGUUUUGAGCUUUUCUUUAAUGCACUUUUCAGUUAACAAGUCAACAUCAAUUUCUUUUGCUGUAAAAAAGCUUGAGGAAGGUGGCUUGAGAUUCGUCUUAAGUGUUUAUAGCCUCUUGCCUAUGCAGUCGGAGAGAUUGAGGUCUGCAGCGUAGAUCCUUCGGGGCUAAAUGCAUUUGUGCUAAGUUAUAGCAUUUUAUAGACAACUUGUUGACUAUGAUUUGUCUUGUAGCUUACUCGCUUAUGUUAUUUUACCUACGCUUAGGAUGUUGACUGAUAUGUAGUCGUA
rnacentral:rRNA from 1 species